rnacentral:rRNA from 1 species
AGCGAACGCUGGCGGCAGGCCUAACACAUGCAAGUCGAACGAACUCUUCGGAGUUAGUGGCGGACGGGUGAGUAACACGUGGGAACGUGCCUUUAGGUUCGGAAUAACUCAGGGAAACUUGUGCUAAUACCGAAUGUGCCCUUCGGGGGAAAGAUUUAUCGCCUUUAGAGCGGCCCGCGUCUGAUUAGCUAGUUGGUGAGGUAAAGGCUCACCAAGGCGACGAUCAGUUGCUGGUCUGAGAGGAUGAUCAGCCACAUUGGGACUGAGACACGGCCCAAACUCCUACGGGAGGCAGCAGUGGGGAAUCUUGCGCAAUGGGCGAAAGCCUGACGCAGCCAUGCCGCGUGAAUGAUGAAGGUCUUAGGAUUGUAAAAUUCUUUCACCGGGGACGAUAAUGACGGUACCCGGAGAAGAAGCCCCGGCUAACUUCGUG